CCUACGGGAGGCAGCAGUGAGGAAUAUUGGUCAAUGGGCGAGAGCCUGAACCAGCCAAGUCGCGUGAGGGAGUACUGCCCUAUGGGUUGUAAACCUCUUUUGUCGGGGAGCAAAAGCCGGACGUGUCCGGCUGUGAGAGUACCCGAAGCAAAAGCAUCGGCUAACUCCGUGCCAGCAGCCGCGGUAAUACGGAGGAUGCGAGCGUUAUCCGGAUUUAUUGGGUUUAAAGGGUGCGCAGGCGGAUUUUUAAGUCAGCGGUAAAAUCGUGGGGCUCAACCCCAUCCAGCCGGUGAAACUGGGGAUCUAGAGUGUGCGAGAGGCAGACGGAAUUCCUAGUGUAGCGGGGAAAUGCGUAGAUAUUAGGAGGAACACCAGUGGCGAAGGCGGUCUGCUGGACAGCAACUGACGCUGAGGCGCGAAAGCGUGGGGAGCAAACAGGAUUAGAUACCCUGGUAGUC
rnacentral:rRNA from 1 species